rnacentral:rRNA from 1 species
AUGGCCACCGCCGCCGCGUCCCAGGUGGCCUUCUCCGCGCCCGUCGGCGGCUCGGACCGCGCCGUCAGGAGCUCCGGAAUCCAGGGCAUCAACAGUCUCAGCUUCAGCAACAAAUCAUGGAUCGGCACCGCAUUGGCGUGCGACAGCAAGGCCGCGGCACAGUCGAGGCAUCUCUGCAGGGCGGUCCAGCAGUCGAGCAAGAGCAAGGUCUCCGUCGCGCCCCUCGACCUGGAGAGCGCCAAGGAGCCGCCGCUCAACACCUACAAGCCCAAGGGGCCUUACACGGCCACCAUUGUCUCGGUUGAGCGGGCGGUAGGCCCUAACGCCCCAGGAGAGACGUGCCACGUCGUCAUCGACCAUGGUGGCAAUGUGCCGUACUGGGAGGGGCAGAGCUAUGGGAUUAUUCCUCCGGGAGAGAACCCAAAGAAGCCUGGAAACCCACAGAAUGUCAGGCUGUAUUCCAUUGCAUCUACUCGGUAUGGGGAUUCAUUUGACGGGAAGACUGCCAGUUUAUGUGUUCGCCGUGCAGUUUAUUAUGAUCCUGAAACUGGCAAGGAGGACCCCUCGAAGAAUGGUGUCUGCAGUAAUUUCCUAUGCAACUCAAAGCCUGGGGACAAGAUUCAGAUGACAGGGCCCUCUGGCAAAAUAAUGCUCCUACCUGAGAGUGAUCCAAAUGCAACCCAUAUCAUGAUUGCCACUGGCACUGGUGUUGCUCCCUACCGCGGGUACCUACGCCGCAUGUUCAUGGAAGAUGUCCCAAAUUUCAGAUUUGGUGGCCUGGCUUGGCUCUUCCUUGGUGUGGCUAAUUCGGACAGCCUUCUUUAUGACGAAGAAUUCACAAGCUACCUGAAGCAGUAUCCAGACAAUUUCAGGUUCGACAAAGCACUAAGUAGGGAGCAGAAGAACAAGAGUGGCGGCAAGAUGUACGUUCAGGACAAGAUUGAGGAGUACAGCGAUGAGAUUUUCAAGCUUUUGGAUGGCGGUGCACACAUCUACUUCUGUGGUUUGAAAGGAAUGAUGCCAGGGAUUCAGGAUACACUCAAGAAGGUGGCAGAGCAGAGAGGGGAGAGCUGGGAUCAGAAGCUAUCGCAGCUCAAGAAGAACAAGCAAUGGCACGUUGAGGUUUACUAG